rnacentral:rRNA from 1 species
GACGAACGCUGGCGGCGUGCUUAAUACAUGCAAGUCGAACGAAGUGGCGAACGGGUGAGUAACGCGUAAUCCACCUGCCCUUCAGAGGGGGAAAACAGUUGGAAACGACCGCUAACACCGCAUACUGAAGGAGGGGAUUGCGUCUGAUUGGCUAGUUGGAGGGGGAACGGCCCACCAAGGCGAUGAUCAGUAGCCGGUCUGGGAGGGUGAACGGCCACCUUGGGACUGAGACACGGCCCAGACUCCUACGGGAGGCAGCAGUGGGGAAUCUUCCGCAAUGGAGGGAAGUCUGACGGAGCAACGCCGCGGGAGUGAUGACGGCCUUCGGGUUGUAAAGCUCUGUUAGUCGGGACGCGGUACCGGAAUAGAAAGCCACGGCUAACUACGUGCCAGCAGCCGCGGUAAUUC